UACGUAGGGUGCGAGCGUUGUCCGGAAUUAUUGGGCGUAAAGGGCUCGUAGGCGGUCUGUUACGUCGGGAGUGAAAACUCGGGGCUCAACCCCGAGCCUGCUUCCGAUACGGGCAGACUAGAGGUAUGCAGGGGAGAAUGGAAUUCCUGGUGUAGCGGUGAAAUGCGCAGAUAUCAGGAAGAACACCCGUGGCGAAGGCGGCUCUCUGGGACGGUACUGACGCUGAGACGCGAAAGCGUGGGGAGCGAACAGG
rnacentral:rRNA from 1 species